rnacentral:rRNA from 1 species
GACAGAGGUCUCAAGCGUUAGGCGGAAUCACUGGGCUUAAAGCGUGUGUAGGCGGAGUCCUAAGUACCUUGUGAAAUCCCCGGGCUUAACCCGGGAACUGCUUGGUAUACUGGGUCUCUUGAGCCAACUAGGGGCGACCGGAACAAACGGUGGAGCGGUGAAAUGCGUAGAGAUGCGGAGGAACACCGAUGGCGAAGGCAGCCCCCUGGGCUAACACUGACGCUCAGGCACGAAAGCGUGGGGAGCAAACAGG